rnacentral:rRNA from 1 species
UACGAAGGGUCCAAGCGUUAUCCGGAUUUAUUGGGUUUAAAGGGUGCGUAGGCGGCUUAUUAAGUCAGUGGUGAAAGCCCGUAGCUUAACUACGGAACUGCCAUUGAUACUGAUGAGCUUGAAUAUACUUGAGGUUGGCGGAAUGUGUCGUGUAGCGGUGAAAUGCUUAGAUAUGACACAGAACACCGAUUGCGAAGGCAGCUAGCUAAAGUAUGAUUGACGCUGAUGCACGAAAGCGUGGGGAGCAAACAG